GAACAUUCCUGUCUUGACGCUCUCCUCCCAAUGUGAUGGUUUGGAGUUGACGAUGGUCGUACUUCUCCAUGUUCUGAGACCAGUUUAAACAAAAACAAAAACCAGACAACAACCUUGCAAGGGAAAGAAUUCAGAGUAAAUAAACAGUCUUUUUCUGGGAAGUAAAGUAUUUCCCUAAGAUGGAGAAAUUGAGAUGAGAGCUCAUCCACAAGAUUACCCAUCAAUGAGCACCAAUAGCAACCAAAUCCACUAGAAGACUGGGAGCUUUUAAGUCAAGACACUUACAUCAGUAUCAUCAUUCCAAGAAGCGGUAUCCAAGUUGUUUUAUCAAAAGUGUGCAUGGGAGAAACCCCUUUCUGAGGCACAGACCCUGCAGGCUCUGAAGAAAUAGGAUAGAUUAUUUCAGCUCUCUCAGCUUGGGAAGUGUGUUUGGAAGAGCAUCCUCCUAGCUGCAAUAAUAAACAGCUCCAGCUGCAAGAGCUUUGCUAAACAAGCCUGGGCAAAACCGUUGGAUUCCUUUCCUUUGACCAUCUUAGCUUUCCCCUGCAAGAGGCAAGGCAGGGAGCCGGCCCUGGAAAUGUCCUCCUAGCCCUGCCCUGUGCAGCUCUGCG
rnacentral:lncRNA from 1 species